rnacentral:tRNA from 1 species
GCGUCGGAAGCUCAAUCGGAUGAGCGGCGGUCUUCCAAACCGCGGGUUGCGGGUUCGAAUCCCGUCCGGCGCA